GCGGGUGUGGCGAAAUUGGUAGACGCACUUGACUUAGGAUCAAGCGCCGUGAGGCUUGGGAGUUCAAAUCUCUUCACCCGCACCA
rnacentral:tRNA from 1 species